rfam:Gossypium arboreum cultivar AKA8401 contig_3790_3, whole genome shotgun sequence.
AAUCCAUGGUGAGGGCACCUUCUCAAUAGGUCCUUGUAUCUCUCCUAUGCAUCAUAAAAAGUUUCUAGAUUCAUCUGCACAAAAGAAGAAAUAUCAAUCCUUAAUUU